AGACCCGAAACCCGGUGAUCUAGCCAUGGGCAGGUUGAAGGUUGGGUAACACUAACUGGAGGACCGAACCGACUAAUGUUGAAAAAUUAGCGGAUGACCUGUGGCUGGGGGUGAAAGGCCAAUCAAACCGGGAGAUAGCUGGUUCUCCCCGAAAGCUAUUUAGGUAGCGCCUCGUGAAUUCAUCUCCGGGGGUAGAGCACUGUUUCGGCUAGGGGGCCAUCCCGGCUUACCAACCCGAUGCAAACUGCGAAUACCGGAGAAUGUUAUCACGGGAGACACACGGCGGGUGCUAACGUCCGUCGUGAAGAGGGAAACAACCCAGACCGCCAGCUAAGGUCCCAAAGUCAUGGUUAAGUGGGAAACGAUGUGGGAAGGCCCAGACAGCCAGGAUGUUGGCUUAGAAGCAGCCAUCAUUUAAAGAAAGCGUAAUAGCUCACUGGUCGAGUCGGCCUGCGCGGAAGAUGUAACGGGGCUAAACCAUGCACCGAAGCUGCGGCAGCGACGCUUAUGCGUUGUUGGGUAGGGGAGCGUUCUGUAAGCCUGUGAAGGUGGCCUGUGAGGGUUGCUGGAGGUAUCAGAAGUGCGAAUGCUGACAUAAGUAACGAUAAAGCGGGUGAAAAGCCCGCUCGCCGGAAGACCAAGGGUUCCUGUCCAACGUUAAUCGGGGCAGGGUGAGUCGACCCCUAAGGCGAGGCCGAAAGGCGUAGUCGAUGGGAAACGGGUUAAUAUUCCCGUACUUGGUGUUACUGCGAAGGGGGGACGGAGAAGGCUAUGUUGGCCGGGCGACGGUUGUCCCGGUUUAAGCGUGUAGGUGUGUGUUCCAGGUAAAUCCGGUUCACUUUAACACUGAGGCGUGACGACGAGGCACUACGGUGCUGAAGCAACAAAUGCCCUGCUUCCAGGAAAAGCCUCUAAGCAUCAGGUAACAUCAAAUCGUACCCCAAACCGACACAGGUGGUCAGGUAGAGAAUACCAAGGCGCUUGAGAGAACUCGGGUGAAGGAACUAGGCAAAAUGGUGCCGUAACUUCGGGAGAAGGCACGCUGACACGUAGGUGAAGUGAUUUACUCACGGAGCUGAAGUCAGUCGAAGAUACCAGCUGGCUGCAACUGUUUAUUAAAAACACAGCACUGUGCAAACACGAAAGUGGACGUAUACGGUGUGACGCCUGCCCGGUGCCGGAAGGUUAAUUGAUGGGGUCAGCGCAAGCGAAGCUCCUGAUCGAAGCCCCGGUAAACGGCGGCCGUAACUAUAACGGUCCUAAGGUAGCGAAAUUCCUUGUCGGGUAAGUUCCGACCUGCACGAAUGGCGUAAUGAUGGCCAGGCUGUCUCCACCCGAGACUCAGUGAAAUUGAACUCGCUGUGAAGAUGCAGUGUACCCGCGGCAAGACGGAAAGACCCCGUGAACCUUUACUAUAGCUUGACACUGAACAUUGAGCCUUGAUGUGUAGGAUAGGUGGGAGGCUUUGAAGUGUGGACGCCAGUCUGCAUGGAGCCGACCUUGAAAUACCACCCUUUAAUGUUUGAUGUUCUAACGUGGACCCGUUACCCGGGUUGCGGACAGUGUCUGGUGGGUAGUUUGACUGGGGCGGUCUCCUCCUAAAGAGUAACGGAGGAGCACGAAGGUUGGCUAAUCCUGGUCGGACAUCAGGAGGUUAGUGCAAUGGCAUAAGCCAGCUUGACUGCGAGCGUGACGGCGCGAGCAGGUGCGAAAGCAGGUCAUAGUGAUCCGGUGGUUCUGAAUGGAAGGGCCAUCGCUCAACGGAUAAAAGGUACUCCGGGGAUAACAGGCUGAUACCGCCCAAGAGUUCAUAUCGACGGCGGUGUUUGGCACCUCGAUGUCGGCUCAUCACAUCCUGGGGCUGAAGUAGGUCCCAAGGGUAUGGCUGUUCGCCAUUUAAAGUGGUACGCGAGCUGGGUUUAGAACGUCGUGAGACAGUUCGGUCCCUAUCUGCCGUGGGCGCUGGAGAACUGAGGGGGGCUGCUCCUAGUACGAGAGGACCGGAGUGGACGCAUCACUGGUGUUCGGGUUGUCAUGCCAAUGGCACUGCCCGGUAGCUAAAUGCGGAAGAGAUAAGUGCUGAAAGCAUCUAAGCACGAAACUUGCCCCGA
rnacentral:rRNA from 1 species